rnacentral:rRNA from 1 species
AAACGUGGAUUAAUACCCCAUAGAAUUAAGAUGCUGCAUGGUAUUUUAAUUAAAAUUUCGGUGGCAUAAGAUGGGCAUGCGUCUGAUUAGCUAGUUGGUGAGGUAACGGCUCACCAAGGCAACGAUCAGUAGGGGUUCUGAGAGGAUUAUCCCCCACACUGGUACUGAGACACGGACCAGACUCCUACGGGAGGCAGCAGUGAGGAAUAUUGGUCAAUGGGCGAAAGCCUGAACCAGCCAUCCCGCGUGCAGGAUGACGGCCCUAUGGGUUGUAAACUGCUUUUCUACGCCAAGAAACCUGGUUACGAGUAACCAGUUGCCGGUAGCGUAGGAAUAAGCAUCGGCUAACUCCGUGCCAGCAGCCGCGGUAAUACGGAGGAUGCAAGCGUUAUCCGGAUUCAUUGGGUUUAAAGGGUGCGUAGGUGGGCUUGUAAGUCAGUGGUGAAAUACUGCCGCUUAACGGUAGAAUUGCCAUUGAUACUGUGAGUCUUGAGUAUGGUUGAGGUAGGCGGAAUGUGUUGUGUAGCGGUGAAAUGCAUAGAUAUGACACAGAACACCGAUUGCGAAG